rnacentral:tRNA from 1 species
AUUAUUUUAGCAUAUAAGUGCAAUUAAAUUUAGAAUUUAAAUAUAUAUAUAAUAUAAUUAUAUAAAUAAUA